rnacentral:rRNA from 1 species
GACGAACGCUGGCGGCAUGCCUAACACAUGCAAGUCGAACGAACAGAACAGGGAAGCUGUUCGGCGUGGAAGUGGAGAGUUGGUGGCGGCUGGGUGAGUCAGGCGUGGACAACGUACCUUGUAAAGGGAAAUAAUCUUGACAACGGGAAGCAAAUACCCCACCAUAGCAUUGGUUCGCAUGAUGUAAGGAGGAUAGGAGGCCUUAGGGCUGUCGAUACAACAUGGGAUAGCGUCUGUGAAGCUAGUUGGUGAGGUAAAGGGUCACCAAGGCGACGAUGAGUAGCCGGCAUGAGAGGGUGAACGGCCACAUUGGGAGUGAGACACGGCACACACUCCUACGCGAGGCCGCAGUGGGGAAUCUUACGGGAUGGAGGAAAGGGUGACGGAGCAAUGCCGCGUGAGGGAAGAAGGCGUUCGGGUUGGAGAGCGCUGUCGUCAUCGGGGAGAGAGAGUUGUAGUAACUGACAAUAUAAGGACGGUACCUGGGGAAGAAGCCCCGGCUAACUCUGUG